rnacentral:rRNA from 1 species
CUUUACCGAGUGUCGAGGUGGGCCGGUACGUUUACUUUGAACAAAUUAGAGUGCUCAAAGCAGGCCAUUUUCGCCUGAAUACUGUGUGCAUGGAAUAAUGGAAUAGGACCUCGGUUCUAUUUUGUUGGUUUUCGGAACUCCGAGGUAAUGAUUAAUAGGGACAGAUGGGGGCAUUCGUAUUGCGACGUUAGAGGUGAAAUUCUUGGAUCGUCGCAAGACGGACAGAAGCGAAAGCAUUUGCCAAAAAUGUUUUCAUUAAUCAAGAACGAAAGUUAGAGGUUCGAAGGCGAUCAGAUACCGCCCUAGUUCUAACCAUAAACGAUGCCAGCUAGCGAUCCGCCGAAGUUCCUCCGAUGACUCGGCGGGCAGCUUCCGGGAAACCAAAGCUUUUGGGUUCCGGGGGAAGUAUGGUUGCAAAGCUGAAACUUAAAGGAAUUGACGGAAGGGCACCACCAGGAGUGGAGCCUGCGGCUUAAUUUGACUCAACACGGGAAACCUCACCAGGCCCGGACACCGGAAGGAUUGACAGAUUGAUAGCUCUUUCUUGAUUCGGUGGGUGGUGGUGCAUGGCCG